rnacentral:rRNA from 1 species
AACGAACGCUGGCGGCAUGCCUAACACAUGCAAGUCGAACGAGACCUUCGGGUCUAGUGGCGCACGGGUGCGUAACGCGUGGGAACCUGCCCUUAGGUUCGGAAUAACUCCCCGAAAGGGGUGCUAAUACCGGAUAAUGUCUUCGGACCAAAGAUUUAUCGCCUUUGGAUGGGCCCGCGUUGGAUUAGUUAGUUGGUAGGGUAAAAGCCUACCAAGGCGACGAUCCAUAGCUGGUCUGAGAGGAUGAUCAGUCACACUGGGACUGAGACACGGCCCAGACUCCUACGGGAGGCAGCAGUGGGGAAUAUUGGACAAUGGGCGAAAGCCUGAUCCAGCAAUGCCGCGUGAGUGAUGAAGGCCUUAGGGUUGUAAAGCUCUUUUACCCGGGAUGAUAAUGACAGUACCGGGAGAAUAAGCUCCGGCUAACUCCGUG